rnacentral:rRNA from 1 species
AACGAACGCUGGCGGCAUGCCUAACACAUGCAAGUCGAACGAGACCUCCGGGUCUAGUGGCGCACGGGUGCGUAACGCGUGGGAACCUGCACUUAGGUUUGGAAUAACUCCCCGACAGGGGUGCUAAUACCGGAUAAUGUCUUCGGACCAAUGAUUUAUCGCCUUUGGAUGGGCCCGCGUUGGAUUAGUUAGUUGGUAGGGUAAAAGCCUACCAAGGCGACGAUCCAUAGCUGGUCUGAGAGGAUGAUCAGCCACACUGGGACUGAGACACGGCCCAGACUCCUACGGGAGGCAGCAGUGGGGAAUAUUGGACAAUGGGCGAAAGCCUGAUCCAGCAAUGCCGCGUGAGUGAUGAAGGCCUUAGUGUUGUAAAGCUCUUUUACCCGGGAUGAUAAUGACGGUACCGGGAGAAUAAGCGCCGGCUAACUCCGUG